CCUACGGGCGGCUGCAGUGAGGAAUUUUCGGCAAUGGGGGAAACCCUGACCGAGCAACGCCGCGUGCAGGAAGACGGCCUUCGGGUUGUAAACUGCUUUUCUCUGGGAAGAGAAUGGACGGUACCGGAGGAAGAAGCCCCGGCUAACUACGUGCUAGCAGCCGCGGUAAUACGUAGGGGGCGAGCGUUGUCCGGAGUUACUGGGCGUAAAGCGCCCGCAGGCGGUCGGGCAAGAGUGGGGUGACAGGUCACGGCUUAACCGUGGCAGUGCCUUGCAGACUGUCGGACUUGAGGGCCAGAGAGGGACAGGGAACUCCAGGUGUAGUGGUGAAAUGCGUAGAUAUCUGGAAGAACACCAAUGGCGAAGGCACUGUCCUGGGUGGUACCUGACGCUGAGGGGCGAAAGCGUGGGGAGCAAAAGGGAUUAGAUACCCGUGUAGUC
rnacentral:rRNA from 1 species